GAUGAACGCUGGCGGCGUGCCUAAUACAUGCAAGUCGAACGAACGGACGCGAACCUUGCUUCUCUGAUGUUAUCGGUGGACGGCUGAGUAACACGUGGAUAAUCAACCUAUACGACUUGGAUAACUACGGGAUACCGUAGCUAAUACCGCAUAAUAUUUUGACUCGCAUGCUUCAAAAGUGUAAGACGGUCUUGCUUUCACUUAUAGAUGGAUCCGCGCUGCAUUAGCUAGUUGGUAAGGUAACGGCUUACCAAGGCAACGAUGCAUAGCCGACCUGAGAGGGUGAUCGGCCACACUGGAACUGAGACACGGCCCAGACUCCUACGGGAGGCAGCAGUAGGGAAUCUUCCGCAAUGGGCGAAAGCCUGACGGAGCAACGCCGCGUGAGUGAUGAAGGUCUUCGGAUCGUAAAACUCUGUUAUUAGGGAAGAACAUGUGUGUAAGUAACUGUGCACAUCUUGACGGUACCUAAUCAGAAAGCCACGGCUAACUACGUG
rnacentral:rRNA from 1 species